rnacentral:rRNA from 1 species
ACGAACGCUGGCGGCGUGCUUAACACAUGCAAGUCGCACGGAAAGGCCCUGCUUUUGUGGGGUGCUCGAGUGGCGAACGGGUGAGUAACACGUGAGUAACCUGCCCUUGACUUUGGGAUAACUUCAGGAAACUGGGGCUAAUACCGGAUAGGAGCUCCUGCUGCAUGGUGGGGGUUGGAAAGUUUCGGCGGUUGGGGAUGGACUCGCGGCUUAUCAGCUUGUUGGUGGGGUAGCGGCUUACCAAGGCUUUGACGGGUAGCCGGCCUGAGAGGGUGACCGGCCACAUUGGGACUGAGAUACGGCCCAGACUCCUACGGGAGGCAGCAGUGGGGAAUAUUGCACAAUGGGCGGAAGCCUGAUGCAGCAACGCCGCGUGCGGGAUGACGGCCUUCGGGUUGUAAACCGCUUUCGCCUGUGACGAAGCGUGAGUGACGGUAAUGGGUAAAGAAGCACCGGCUAACUACGUG